rnacentral:lncRNA from 1 species
UUUUUUUUUCUUUUUUCUUUUUUUUGGAGCUGGGGACCAAACCCAGGGCCUUGCGCUUGCUAGGCAAGCGCUCUACCACUGAGCUAAAUCUCCAACCCCGUUUUUGUUUAUUUGUUUAAUUGUUUUUGUUUUUUUUAAUAUUUUAUUUAUUUAUUAUGUAUACAUCAUACAGCUUUCUGCCUGCAUGUGUGCCUGCAGGCCAGAAGAUGACCCCAGAUCUCAUUAUAGAUGGUUGUGAGCCACCAUGUAGUUGCUGGGAAUUGAACUCAGGACCUUUGGAAGAGCUGUCAGUGCUCUUAACCACUGAGCCAUCUCUCCAGCCCCCUUGUUUUUGUUUUUAAUGAGAGAAAUAACAGAAAGUUGG